rnacentral:rRNA from 1 species
UACGAAGGGGGCUAGCGUUGCUCGGAAUCACUGGGCGUAAAGCGCACGUAGGCGGAUUGCUAAGUCAGGGGUGAAAUCCUGGAGCUCAACUCCAGAACUGCCUUUGAUACUGGCGAUCUCGAGUUCGGGAGAGGUGAGUGGAACUGCGAGUGUAGAGGUGAAAUUCGUAGAUAUUCGGAAGAACACCAGUGGCGAAGGCGGCUCACUGGUCCGGUACUGACGCUGAUGUGCGAAAGCGUGGGGAGCAAACAGG